CCAAGCCCUUCCCUGUCGCUAUUGGACACGAAAUGAGUGCACAGAAGCUUGGGAAUAAAACUGGCUCUUUUUCUCUUUUGAACUCCCCAAGCUUCUGUGCACUCAUUUUGUGUCCAGUAGCGACAGACACCUGUACAGAUCUGCCAGCCCUCAGCAUCUGCUGUCUGAAGAAAGCGUGGAGCAAGGCCCAAACUGGGAGUGAUAAAAAAAGGCAACCAAAACCCCAGCCAGGCAACACCCAUGCUCUAAAAAGGUGGAGCCGAGGAGGGGCCAUGUAAAGCAGUUCCUGGAAAAUCUAAACUAGUUCAUGGAUUUGCAUCAGGAUCUAUGAAGAUGCAACAGGCUGAUGUAAUUAAAAGGAGAGUGAAGGUGUUUUUCACGUGAGAGAAUCAGGAAGCGACGAAAUCUAAAGGAGGAAGCGAGUUGAAGCAGGAAGCUGUUGGUUUUGUGUAAAGCUUCACUGACUCAUCCUCGCUGCGUGCAAUGGGGUCAGAGGGGUCACUGGCCUGGAAUGGGAUCGGGAUGGGGAUUGGGAUCUCCGUGCCCGUCCCCACCACCAGCACUGCAGCUCCUCCUGCACUCCCACUGCCACUCCAGCAGCUGCAGGGAUGGGAGGACUGAGCUGUGCAGAGGGCAGGAUUUUCCAAGGAUUUUCCUUGGUGUGACAGAUGGGCAAUGCCGUGCUUGGCUCUCACAAUUAAAAGGCAAAUAUCA